rnacentral:rRNA from 1 species
GACGAACGCUGGCGGCGUGCUUAACACAUGCAAGUCGAACGAUGAAAUUCUGACGGAGGCUUCGGCCAACUGAAGGAUGGAUUAGUGGCGGACGGGUGAGUAACGCGUGAGUAACCUGCCGUAUACAGGGGGACAACAGUUGGAAACGACUGCUAAUACCGCAUAAGCGCACAGGACCGCGUGGUCUGGUGUGAAAAACUCCGGUGGUAUACGAUGGACCCGCGUCUGAUUAGCUAGUUGGUGAGGUAACGGCCCACCAAGGCGACGAUCAGUAGCCGGCCUGAGAGGGUGAACGGCCACAUUGGGACUGAGACACGGCCCAAACUCCUACGGGAGGCAGCAGUGGGGAAUAUUGGACAAUGGGGAAACCCUGAUCCAGCGACGCCGCGUGAGUGAAGAAGUAUUUCGGUAUGUAAAGCUCUAUCAGCAGGGAAGAAAAUGACGGUACCUGACUAAGAAGCUCCGGCUAAAUACGUG